CGCGGCCUAUCAGCUUGUUGGUGAGGUGAUGGCUCACCAAGGCUAUGACGGGUAGCGGGUCUGAGAGGAUGGCCCGCCACAUUGGGACUGAGACACGGCCCAGACUCCUACGGGAGGCAGCAGUGGGGAAUAUUGCGCAAUGGCCGAAAGGCUGACGCAGCGACGCCGCGUGCGGGAGGAAGCCCCUCGGGGUGUAAACCGCUGUCAGAGGGGACGAACCGCCAUGGUGGGAAUACUGCCAUGGUCUGACGGUACCCUCAGAGGAAGCACCGGCUAACUCCGUGCCAGCAGCCGCGGUAAUACGGAGGGUGCGAGCGUUGUUCGGAAUUACUGGGCGUAAAGGGCGCGUAGGCGGAGGUGCAAGUCGGUGGUGAAAGCCCAGGGCUCAACCCUGGGAUUGCUUCCGAUACUGCAACUCUAGGGACCGGUAGAGGUCGGUGGAAUUCCCGGUGUAGCGGUGGAAUGCGUAGAUAUCGGGAGGAACACCGGUGGCGAAGGCGGGUCUCUGGGCCUUACCUGACGCUGAGGAGCGAAAGCGUGGGGAGCGAACAGGAUUAGAUACCCUGGUAGUCCACGCCGUAAACGGUGGGCGCUAGGUGUGGGAUGCUGUUCACGUGUCCCGUGCCGUAGCUAACGCAUUAAGCGCCCCGCCUGGGGAGUACGG
rnacentral:rRNA from 1 species